CUGUGACUUCCCAGUGCUGGAGGUCGGGUGGAAGAGACGGGCGCUAACCAGGCCUCUCUCUCAUCUCCCCUGGCCCCAUGAAGAAGGCUCCUCCAAGAUGGCCCCUACUGGAUGCAGGCCCAUCAACCUUGGGUCUCCAGAACCAAAAGCUGAAUAAACUUCUAGUCUUUAUAAAUCAUCUAGUCUGUGGCAUUCAGCGAUAGUAAAGAAAAUGGACAAAGACAAGAGACGCAAUCAGAAAGCCAAGGACUGGUGAAUCCAAGACUGAGACCCCCAAACAGGAACAGGAAGUCUCUCAGAGGCCCUCUGGCUCUAGGUGGGGCUGGGAGUCCCCCCCUGCCCCAGGAGAUGGCGCCACGGUGGGUGAGCAUUGCUGUCUGUCUUGGUGUGGACCCUGACCUCUGCCCCAGGAUGGCCUCGUGCCUGGGUGCCUGGAUGCCCAGGACAGAGCCUGCCGGUGAGGGUCCCUGCUGACCGUCCAAGGCAGAAGUCCUGUCCCUCCGUUGAGUCUGGUCACCUGCUUUUCCCGGCCCAGAACAGGCUCAAGCCAGACCUAGAACAGCACAGCCGGUGGUCAGCGGUCUAAGAGUGGCGAGUCGGCUGCCACAGCGCUUCACAAUGCACGGAGCCCUUUCCUUGGGACCUCACCUGGGUCUUAGGACCUAGCCUGUCACCCCAGGCCUUGGAGUUCUGGGAUGGCCACAUUAGUGUAAGAAACAGGUGCAGGGAGGCUGGGGGAGUGCCCCGGGCAGCAGCUGGGAGCGGGGAAGGACAGCAGAGCCCAGAGGUGAGAGGGUGGCUGGGGAGGCAGGCCUGGGGACUGCUGCAGGACCAGGGUGACCUUGGCUGGCCAGUGGAGGGCCCCCUCACGGGGAUGUUGGACACUGCCUGGGUUACGGCCACCCUGGGAGUUGAGGAGCUCGGGCUUGGCAAGCUCAAGGUUGAAGCCACAAAUUGUGGUUGGGUGACUUACACUGGCCUCAUUGCUGAAAGCGUCCCCACAGGUGCUCAGCUUGCAGGACUAGCUGUGUCCUCCUGGGCCAGGGCAACCCUGCCUUCUCCACUGACCAUCACUUAUGGAGCCCACGCACCUGAGUGCCAUCUUCUCCAUCUCAGCUGACUGUCCCACUCCUGGGACUACCCUCCUUCUCUGGUGCCUGGCACUCUGGAAUUCCAGCUUUGCCAGGGCGAGGUCCAGCGGGUCCGGAUUCAGCCUUGGUCCCUGGUGUCCUGACCAACACGCAGCACACCGUGAACUUCCCGUCAAUCUUCCCCGCACCAUGUGUGGCCCGCAGGCAUGGCUGGGCGGGCUGUGGUACAUCAGCGGGUGGAAUAUCACACAGCCAUUAAAACCACAAUUAUGAAGAUGAUAUUUUGAUAUCUAAGUGCAACGUGUCAAACAGAGCUGUAUCCAAACCAUCCGUUCCACCUGGAGGCUCGAGAGCCUGCUCCGCGCUGGCCCCGGGCUGGGCGUGUCAGGGAUGGAGAGAGGUUCAGUUUAGAAGAGGAGGAAGACACGCACAUA